AGAGUUUGAUCAUGGCUCAGGAUGAACGCUAGCGGCAGGCUUAAUACAUGCAAGUCGUGGGGCAGCAGGACUGUAGCAAUACAGUUGCUGGCGACCGGCAAACGGGUGCGGAACACGUACGCAAUCUACCCAUAACUGGGGCAUAGCCCGGGGAAACCCGGAUUAAUACCUCGUAACAUCAUAGAGUGGCAUCACUUUUUGAUUAUAGCUCCGGCGGUUAUGGAUGAGCGUGCGGCUGAUUAGGUAGUUGGCAGGGUAACGGCCUACCAAGCCUACGAUCAGUAACUGGUGUGAGAGCACGACCAGUCACACGGGCACUGAGACACGGGCCCGACUCCUACGGGAGGCAGCAGUAAGGAAUAUUGGGCAAUGGACGCAAGUCUGACCCAGCCAUGCCGCGUGGAGGAUGAAGGCCCUCUGGGUUGUAAACUUCUUUUAUCUGGGACGAAACCCUCUUAUUCUUAAGAGAUUGACGGUACCAGAGGAAUAAGCACCGGCUAACUCCGUGCCAGCAGCCGCGGUAAUACGGAGGGUGCAAGCGUUAUCCGGAUUCACUGGGUUUAAAGGGUGCGUAGGCGGGUAAGUAAGUCAGUGGUGAAAUCUCCAAGCUUAACUUGGAAACUGCCGUUGAUACUAUUUAUCUUGAAUAUCGUGGAGGUAAGCGGAAUAUGUCAUGUAGCGGUGAAAUGCUUAGAUAUGACAUAGAACACCAAUUGCGAAGGCAGCUUACUACGCGGUCAUUGACGCUGAGGCACGAAAGCGUGGGGAGCAAACAGGAUUAGAUACCCCGGUAGUCC
rnacentral:rRNA from 1 species